rnacentral:rRNA from 1 species
UACGUAGGGGGCAAGCGUUGUCCGGAAUCAUUGGGCGUAAAGAGCGUGUAGGCGGCCUGAUAAGUCGGCUGUGAAAGUCAAGGGCUCAACCCUUGAAUGCCGGCCGAUACUGUCAGGCUAGAGUCCGGAAGAGGCGAGUGGAAUUCCUGGUGUAGCGGUGAAAUGCGUAGAUAUCUGGAGGAACACCGGUGGCGAAGGCGGCAUCCUGGACCAACACUGACACUGAGGAGCGAAAGCCAGGGGAGCAAACGGG